rnacentral:ncRNA from 2 species
CUCUUAUCCAGAGAGGCGGAGGGACCGGCCCUGUGAAGCCUCGGCAACCUACCGGUUCGUCGCACGGUGUGGUGCCAACUCCGGCAGAUGGAACUUCUGGAAGAUGAGAG